rfam:Triticum aestivum genome assembly, contig: Triticum_aestivum_CS42_TGACv1_scaffold_513169_6BS
CAAGUACUCCCUCCGUCCGGAAUUACUUGUCAUCAAAAUGGAUGUGUCUAGAACUAAAAUACAUCUAGAUCCAUUUCAAUGAUAGGUAUUUCCGGACGGAGGGAGUACAAG